GGCCCGGUAGCGGACGGUUUCCGCACCUGCUUUCAAUGCUUCAUUAUCCAUACAAUUUUCAGUAGGACACGCUCGUUCGACUCGAGCCUGGGCCA